GGGGGGGGCUACACUGCAGUGGUGCGACGAACCAGGGCUUGCCCUGGGGCAAAGCCGCGAACGGGUGAGUAACACGUGAGUAACCUGCCCCGAUGACCGGGACAACCCGAGGAAACUCGGGCUAAUACCGGAUGUGGCGCACAGGUCUAAGCCUGUUCGCUAAAGGAAGCUUCGGCCUCCGCAUUGGGAGGGGCUCGCGGCCCAUUAGCUUGUUGGUGGGGUAACGGCCUACCAAGGCAACGAUGGGUAGCUGGUCUGAGAGGACGAUCAGCCACACUGGGACUGAGACACGGCCCAGACUCCUACGGGAGGCAGCAGUGGGGAAUCUUGCGCAAUGCGCGAAAGCGUGACGCAGCAACGCCGCGUGGGGGAAGACGGCCUUCGGGUUGUAAACCCCUUUCAGGAGGGACGAAGGUUCACCGGUGAAUAGCCGUGUGGAUUGACGGUACCUCCAGAAGAAGCUCCGGCUAACUACGUGCCAGCAGCCGCGGUAAUACGUAGGGAGCAAGCGUUGUCCGGAAUCAUUGGGCGUAAAGCGCGCGUAGGCGGCCCUGUAAGUCCGUUGUGAAAGUCAAAGGCUCAACCUUUGAAAGCCGAUGGAUACUGCAGGGCUAGAGUCCGGAAGGGGCGAGUGGAAUUCCUGGUGUAGCGGUGGAAUGCGCAGAUAUCAGGAGGAACACCAAUAGCGAAGGCAGCUCGCUGGGACGGUACUGACGCUAAGGCGCGAAAGCGUGGGGAGCGAACAGGAUUAGAUACCCUGGUAGUCCACGCCCGUAACGAUGGGCACUAGGUGUGGGAGGUGUCGACUCCUCCCGUGCCGUCCCUAACGCACUAAGUG
rnacentral:rRNA from 1 species